GCUCAAUGGUAUAGUGCUUGCCUAGCAUGUAGGAGAUUCUGGGUUCGAAUCCCAG
rnacentral:tRNA from 1 species